rnacentral:rRNA from 1 species
UUAAUUGAAGAGUUUGAUCAUGGCUCAGAUUGAACGCUGGCGGCAGGCCUAACACAUGCAAGUCGAGCGGCAGCACAGAGGAACUUGUUCCUUGGGUGGCGAGCGGCGGACGGGUGAGUAAUGCCUGGGAAAUUGCCCGGUAGAGGGGGAUAA